rnacentral:lncRNA from 1 species
GGCCCACCUGCCUGGGCCCACCACUCUGAGGGUCAGUCUUUCCUCAACUGUGCACAUUUCUCCUACUUGUGGAAAGGACAUGGAGCCUCCACUCUGCCAGUCUUUACCUGUAGCGUUGCCUUCUUGAACCACAGAUGUUGGAGGCUCUGGCCAUCUGCUGUUGCUCCCCUUUCUCUGUGGCCAAAGCCCCACUCUGGAAAUUUCCAUCAUCGGUGGUCGUGUGUCGAUCACAGCACACUGGGUUCACUCCAUGGCCUCAUCCUUGGGUAGUGACUUCCCACCCGUCCAGUGCUCCUCUCCAGCCUCAGUCACCAGCAUCUCCUACUUGGAUUAUUGCAACAGCUCCUAAGCAUCAGCAUCAAGCACCAACGCAGAUGAAUCCUCCUCCUACAGACAUUAGAUCAUGUCACACCUCUGCCCAGAACCUCCCAGUGGCUUCCAGUAUCAUGUUGAAUAAAAGAAAA